CAAAAUUUGAAACCAAUGUAAUAAUGACUUGGAAAUACAUUAGUAUACUUGAUGCAGUAAACCAAUUAACUUUGUUUAAUUAAAAUUGAUUAAACAUGAAUUAGUGUGUUGUGAGUCUCCUCUUUAGCAACAUACCAACAACUCCAGGCAUGUUUUGGUCUUAUCAGACCUCACUAGCAAAACAUAGUUUAACUAUGGCUGUUUGAUUUUAGAAUGACUUACGAUAUACAGAACCAUUGUGAACGAACACAGAGUAGCAUUAUAAAUUAAAAGAAUUGUUUAAA